rnacentral:rRNA from 1 species
AGUCCGAUAGCAAACAAGUACCGUGAGGGAAAAUUGAAAAGAACUUUGAAGAGAGAGUUCAAGAGUACGUGAAACCGUCUAGCGGUAAAGAGAGGGGUUCUCGAAGUUUCUGAGGGGGACUCAACCUUGGUGGUGCUUGGCCUGGGCGUAUUUGAUCAGCAAUGACUUUGCGUUUAGUCCCAUGUGCCUCCCGGACGCACUUUCUCCUCAGUUUACGGCAGGAACCGUUAGAUGUGGACUGAAGGCCCAGGGUGAAGUUGUUGGUUAUGCUGGCAGCCCUUGGUGUCCUAGCUUCGCGUCUGACGGGUAUGUAAGUGAACUCGUAUAGCGAGCAAUUCUCUUUUGCGGUUCACAUUUCUCUGCCGAGUAGGUCGGUGGCCCCUCUCACCCGUCUUGAAACACGGAC